UCAGUGAGGAUGAAAGGAACCCAACUGGCCUGCUCUUAUCUCCAGACAGCUAACCCCUGGUAUUUGGCUGCCAGGCCAAGCCUCCCCCUUAGCCCUCAAGGCCAGGCAAGGUAACAAGCCCAGGUUACAUAAGAUUUCUCCUCACCUGCUUCCACAGGACCAGCCUCCUUCUCAAAUUAUGGUCCAGAUAGCAAAUAAUCUCCAAAACCACUUAAUGAUGAUUCCUGACUCCAUUAAGCUCAGGUCAUGAUCUCCGGGUCCUGGGAUCAAGCCCCACAUUGGACUCCCUG